UUAUCUCUGUAGAGUCUGCAUAUCAAUAAGCGGAGGAAAAGAAACUAACUAGGAUUCCCUAAGUAACGGCGAGUGAAGCGGGAAGAGCUCAAAUUUGAAAUCUUCAAGGUUCUACCUUGACGAAUUGUAGUUUAAAGAAGUGUUUUCUGUUGGAGUUUUGGUAAAAGUUCUUUGGAAUAGGACAUCAUAGAGGGUGAGAAUCCCGUAUUUGACCAUUAUUUCCAACUUUGUGACACACUUUCAAAGAGUCGGAUUGUUUGGGAAUGCAGUCCAAAAUGGGUGGUAAAUUUCAUCUAAAGCUAAAUACUGGCGAGAGACCGAUAGCGAACAAGUACCGUGAGGGAAAGAUGAAGAGAACUUUGAAAAGAGAGUUAAACAGUACGUGAAAUUGUCAAAAGGGAAGCGUUUGACACCAGUGUUGUUUUCUCGAAAAUCAAUUAAAAAUAAAUUCGAUUUUGUGUUGUAUUGACCUUAAAAGCUUUCUUCACUUUUUUCAUGUUUAUUUUUAAUGCACUUUUCGUUUAACAAGUCAACAUCAGUUUCUUUUGUUGUAAAAAGGUCAUUGGAAGGUGGCUUUCUUUUCGGAGAAAGUGUUUAUAGCCUUUGACUCCUGCAAUCGGAGAGACUGAGGUCUGCAGCGUAGAUCCUUCGGGGUUAGAUACAUUUGUGCUAAGUUAUAGCCUUUCAUAGACAACUUGUUGACUAUGAUUCAGUCAUGUAGCUUACUCGCUUAUGUCAUUUUACCUACGCUUAGGAUGUUGAUCUCUCACAGUCGAGC
rnacentral:rRNA from 1 species